rfam:Methanogenic archaeon ISO4-H5 chromosome, complete genome.
GGUCCCGUAGUAUAGCUUGGAUAGCAUAGAGGCCUCCGGAGCCCCAGACCCGGGUUCGAAUCCCGGCGGGUCCG